rnacentral:rRNA from 1 species
GUGGGGAAUAUUGGACAAUGGGCGAAAGCCUGAUCCAGCCAUGCCGCGUGUGUGAAGAAGGUCUUCGGAUUGUAAAGCACUUUAAGUUGGGAGGAAGGGCAGUAAGUUAAUACCUUGCUGUUUUGACGUUACCGACAGAAUAAGCACCGGCUAACUUCGUGCCAGCAGCCGCGGUAAUACGAAGGGUGCAAGCGUUAAUCGGAAUUACUGGGCGUAAAGCGCGCGUAGGUGGUUUUGUAAGUUGGAGGUGAAAUCCCCGGGCUCAACCUAGGAACUGCCUCCAAAACUACUGAGCUAGAGUACGGUAGAGGGUAGUGGAAUUUCCUGUGUAGCGGUGAAAUGCGUAGAUAUAGGAAGGAACACCAGUGGCGAAGGCGACUACCUGGACUGAUACUGACACUGAGGUGCGAAAGCGUGGGGAGCAAACAGGAUUAGAUACCCGAGUAGUCC